rnacentral:lncRNA from 1 species
CUCAGCCUUGUUCCAGGGCACGACGCAGCCAAGGUGGGUGCACACGGCGUUGAGGCCGUAGUUCUCGAUGGUGCCGUCAUCCUUAACGAUGAUGUAGGUGGCGUCACCCUGCGUUGGUCGAAGGGAAGGGGGAGGUUGGAAGGUCAGCGGAGGUGCUCGAGAGCGCGCAAAUUAUUUUCGACCACUGGGAAGCCGUAGCGCUUAUCCGGGUGAGGGUAAAAUCGGGGCCGCGUUCCCGGGGGACUUAUCCACGCGACGCGCGUCACGAGCGGACGCGAUCGCGGGAUGCGCGCACGCGCGUGCGCAUGCGAUGGCAUGAACUCGUCGAUCGCGGUUCGUUCGACGCGCAUGCCGCGCGCGCGGCGCGCGCGUCGACCCCCGCUCCACCGCGGCCCGAACGAUCGAUUUGCCAACUGUCAUACUCUAAUAAAUACGCACCUUGAGGCCCUGGGAGAGGGUGCGGUCGCCCGCGAGGUGGGUCUUGAGCCACUCCUUGGACUUGACGUCGUUGCCGUUCUUGUCCUUGGCGGGCUGGCCAGCACCACCGCCACCCGCGCUGUUAGUUGAGGGGAGAGGUGGGAACGCGACGGGUCAGUCGGAUGUCCAAGGCGCGGGGAGCGUCGAGCGCCCCCCCCUGAGCGAUCAGUGUGACGUUGCAAAGAUUUUCCCGGACCCUAGGCGCGCGGAGUAUGCGCUCCACGCGACUGCGCGAUCGAGACUCACCUGGGAGGCACGAAGAAGUAGGCGUAGCCGCCAACGAGGGAGGUGGCGGGGAGGCCGAUGGCGCCAACGAGAAGGAGGUUCAUCACGUUGCGCUUGCCCAUGUCGGGGACCUCGCCGGAAGCGGCAGCGGCCUUCACGGUGCGGGCCACAGCCUUGGGCGCGGACGCGGCCUUCUUGUUGAGGCCGCGGACGUUGCACCCGAGCUUGGCAGACAUGGUCAUGGAGGUCAUGGAAGCCAUGGUAUUGACUUUCCACUUGACG